AGUGGAUGGGGAGCAACCUAGUUGUGCGUGUGUAAAGGUAGUGCCAAGAAAAGCGAUGAUCAUGUUGAAAAUCAAUUCCCGGUACCCGAAACCGACACAGGUGGGCAAGUAGAGAAUACUAAGGGGCGCGAGGUAACUCUCUCCAAGGAACUCGGCAAAAUGACCCCGUAACUUAGGGAGAAGGGGUGCCACCGAGAGGUGGUCGCAGUGAAGAGGCCCAGGCGACUGUUUAGCAAAAACAUAGGUCUCUGCAAACUCGAAAGAGGAGGUAUAGGGGCUGACGCCUGCCCAGUGCCGGAAGGUUAAAGAAGUUGGUCAGUUUUAGGAUGAAGCUAGCGACUGAAGCCCCGGUGAACGGCGGCCGUAACUAUAACGGUCCUAAGGUAGCGAAAUUCCUUGUCGGGUAAGUUCCGACCCGCACGAAAGGCGUAACGAUCUGGGCGCUGUCUCGGAGAGAGGCUCGGCGAAAUAGGAUUGUCUGUGAAGAUACGGACUACCUGCAUUUGGACAGAAAGACCCUAUGAAGCUUUACUAUAGCUUGGAAUUGUGUUCGGGCUUCCUGUGCGCAGGAUAGGUGGGAGGCGUAGAAGGUAUUCUUGUGGGGAUACUGGAGCCAACGGUGAGAUACCACUCUCAGGAGGCUAGAAUUCUAACUUAAUUAAGGACAGUUUCAGGUGGGUAGUUUGACUGGGGCGGUCGCCUCCAAAAAGGUAACGGAGGCGUACAAAGGUUCCCUCAGACUGGUUGGAAAUCAGUCGAAGAGUGCAAAGGCAGAAGGGAGCUUGACUGCGAGAAGUACAGUUCGAGCAGGGUGGAAACACGGUCUUAGUGAUCCGACGGUGCUGUGUGGAAGGGCCGUCGCUCAACGGAUAAAAGUUACUCUAGGAUAACAGGCUGAUCUCCCCCAAGAGUUCACAUCGACGGGGAGGUUUGGCACCUCGAUGUCGGCUCAUCGCAACCUGGGGCGGAAGUACGUCCCAAGGGUUGGGCUGUUCGCCCAUUAAAGCGGUACGUGAGCUGGGUUCAGAACGUCGUGAGACAGUUCGGUCCAUAUCCGAUGUAGGCGUGAGAAUAUUGAGAGGAGCCUUCCUUAGUACGAGAGGACCGGGAAGGACGCACCGCUGGUGUACCUGUUAUGAUGCCAAUUGUAAACGCAGGGUAGCCAAGUGCGGAGAGGAUAACCGCUGAAAGCAUCUAAGUGGGAAGCCCACCUCAAGAUGAGUAUUCUGGUGUGAGGUCACGGGAAGACGACCCGUAAAUAGGCACGAGGUGGAAGUGCAGAGAUGUAUGAAGCCGAAGUGUACUAAUAGACCGUCGGCUUGA
rnacentral:rRNA from 1 species